CUGCUCAAUGAACAUAUUUAAAUAGCUGCAGUAUAAAUAACUGUACAAAGGUAGCAUAAUAAUUAGAUUUUUAAUUAAAAUCUAGAAUGAAAGAUUCAAUGAAAUAUAAACUUUAUUAUUUUAAUUAAAGCUUAAUUUUUUAUUUAAUUUAAAAAAAUUAAAUAAAAUUAAAAGACGAGAAGACCCUAUAGAAUUUUAUUUUUAAAAAUUAAUUUAUAAAAUUUAAAAAUUAAUUAUUAAAAAUUUAAUUGGGGGAAUUUUAAAAUUUAAUAAAUUUUUAUUUAAGUAAACAAAAAUAUUUGUAUAAAAUAUAUUUUUUUAAAAAAAUAAACUAAAUUACCUUAGGGAUAACAGCAUAAUUUUUUUUAAAAGUACAAAUUUAUAAAAAAGCUUAUGACCUCGAUGUUGAAUUAAGAUAAAAUUUAAACGUAAAAUUUUUAUAAUUUAAGUCUGUUCGACU
rnacentral:rRNA from 1 species